rnacentral:rRNA from 1 species
GACGAACGCUGGCGGCGUGCUUAACACAUGCAAGUCGAACGAUGAACUUGGAGCUUGCUCUGGGGGAUUAGUGGCGAACGGGUGAGUAACACGUGAGUAACCUGCCCUGGACUCUGGGAUAACUUCGAGAAAUCGGAGCUAAUACCGGAUAGGACCUUGCACCGCAUGGUGUGGGGUGGAAAGUUUUUGGGUUUUGGUUGGACUCGCGGCCUCUCAGCUUGGUGGUGAGGUAAUGGCUCAACAAGGCGUCGACGGGUAGUCGGCCUGUGAGGGUGACCGGCCAAACUGGGACUGAGACACGGCCCAGACUCCUACGGGAGGCAGCAGUGGGGAAUAUUGCACAAUGGGCGCAAGCCUGAUGCAGCAACGCCGCGUGCGGGAUGACGGCCUUCGGGUUGCAAACCGCUUUUAGUAGGGAAGAAGCCUUCGGGUGACGGUACCUGCAGAAAAAGGACCGGCUUACUACGUGCCAGCAGCCGCCGUAACAC